GAGUAGUUCAGUCAGUAGAGCAUGAGACUGUGAAUCUCAGGGCCGUAGGUUCAAGUCCCAUGUUGGACA